CAGAAGAAAAACUGCCAUGCAGAUGGGAUUUUUUCAUGCUGUUGUAUAGCGGACCAUACUUCUGGCCUGAAAACUGUAUAUCCAAGUCACAUUAUGGUUGGAUGGCUGCUCUUUGUUUCUGGACUACAGAUGAGUUUAGAAAUGCGUGGCAUCACGAGAACCAGCUGAACUGUGUUUCCAGGACUGAGCUCAUAUCAGUAUGCUAAGCUAAGCUAGCGCCGAAGCUAACGCUACUGCGUUUGAUCUGAUGAUUAGGCUGAGCGGAGCCAGGCUGUUGACGCCUGUGGAUCAUCACUCACUCACCUGCGUUCAGGAGGGCGAGGAAGAGAGAUUCUUCAUGCACACAGCUGCUGUUUAACCCAUGGGCAGGAGAGUUACCUUCAGACUGGCGCUCUUGUGCGAAAUACUGAUCCUCUCUGAAAAUCUGUUUCCCCUGUGUCGGGGAGCGCGAACUGCAGCCAGAGAGGCGGAUCCCACAAUUUUCACGGCCCAUUUGUUCGAUUCCUUGGUAAAACAACUUGCAUAAUCAUGCCAAGGUUGUAACAUUCAGUUGAAUCGGCAACUGCUGUUAAAAACAAUAACACAUUUGUAAAAAUAAAUAUGUGCAGAGGUCUUCCUA